AGUUUUCCGAGCGUGUCGAGCAUGGCGCCCGGUGUCGUGGUGUCGCGCGGAUCGCCCUUCCUGGCUUCGUUCAGGUCGGGCUCCGUCCGGUCGAGGCGC
rnacentral:sRNA from 1 species